GACGAACGCUGGCGGCGUGCUUAACACAUGCAAGUCGAACGAAGAGCGAUGGAAGCUUGCUUCUAUCAAUCUUAGUGGCGAACGGGUGAGUAACGCGUAAUCAACCUGCCCUUCAGAGGGGGACAACAGUUGGAAACGACUGCUAAUACCGCAUACGAUCUAAUCUCGGCAUCGAGGAUAGAUGAAAGGUGGCCUCUACAUGUAAGCUAUCACUGAAGGAGGGGAUUGCGUCUGAUUAGCUAGUUGGAGGGGUAACGGCCCACCAAGGCGAUGAUCAGUAGCCGGUCUGUGAGGAUGAACGGCCACAUUGGGACUGAGACACGGCCCAGACUCCUACGGGAGGCAGCAGUGGGGAAUCUUCCGCAAUGGACGAAAGUCUGACGGAGCAACGCCGCGUGAGCGAUGACGGCCUUCGGGUUGUAAAGCUCUGUUAAUCGGGACGAAAGGCCUUCUUGCGAAUAGUGAGAAGGAUUGACGGUACCGGAAUAGAAAGCCACGGCUAACUACGUG
rnacentral:rRNA from 1 species